rnacentral:tRNA from 1 species
CAUGACCUAGUGGUUAAGACGCCAAACUAACAACAUGGCAGUCGUAGGUUCAAGCCCGGG